GGCUCCAGUGGUCUAGUGGUUAGAGCGUCCGCCUCACAUGCGGAAGGUCGUGGUGGGUUCGAACUCCGGUCGAGUCA